rnacentral:rRNA from 1 species
AGGACGAACGCUGGCGGCGUGCUUAACACAUGCAAGUCGAGCGGUAAGGCCUUUCGGGGUACACGAGCGGCGAACGGGUGAGUAACACGUGGGUGAUCUGCCCUGCACUUCGGGAUAAGCCUGGGGAAACUGGGUCUAAUACCGGAUAUGACCUCCUAUCGCAUGGUGGGUGGUGGAAAGAUUUUAUCGGUGCAGGAUGGGCCCGCGGCCUAUCAGCUUGUUGGUGGGGUAAUGGCCUACCAAGGCGACGACGGGUAGCCGACCUGAGAGGGUGACCGGCCACACUGGGACUGAGACACGGCCCAGACUCCUACGGGAGGCAGCAGUGGGGAAUAUUGCACAAUGGGCGAAAGCCUGAUGCAGCGACGCCGCGUGAGGAUGACGGCCUUCGGGUUGUAAACCUCUUUCAGCAGGACGAAGCGCAAGUGACGGUACCUGCAGAGAAAGCACCGGACUAACACGUGCCCGAAGCACGCCGC